rnacentral:tRNA from 1 species
UUCCCUGUGGUCCAGUAGUUAGGAUGCUGCUUUUCUACUGCAGGGAAUGCAGAUUCAAUCCCUGGUCGGGAAG